UAGGUGGUUUGUCGCGUUGUCCGUGAAAACUCACAGCUCAACUGUGGGCGUGCGGGCGAUACGGGCAGACUGGAGUACUGCAGGGGAGACUGGAAUUCCUGGUGUAGCGGUGGAAUGCGCAGAUAUCAGGAGGAACACCGGUGGCGAAGGCGGGUCUCUGGGCAGUAACUGACGCUGAGGAGCGAAAGCGUGGGGAGCGAACAGGAUUAGAUACCCUGGUAGUCCACGCCGUAAACGGUGGGUACUAGGUGUGGGUUUCCUUCCUUGGGAUCCGUGCCCGU
rnacentral:rRNA from 1 species